UAACGGCGAGUGAAGCGGCAAAAGCUCAAAUUUGAAAUCUGGCCCCUCCGGGGUCCGAGUUGUAAUUUGCAGAGGAUGCUUGGGGUGCGGCUGCGGCGUAAGUUCCUUGGAACAGGACGUCGUAGAGGGUGAGAAUCCCGUCUGCAGUCGCUGGCGCGCGCCCGUAUCAAGCUCCUUCGACGAGUCGAGUUGUUUGGGAAUGCAGCUCUAAGUGGGUGGUAAAUUUCAUCUAAAGCUAAAUAUUGGCCGGAGACCGAUAGCGAACAAGUAGAGUGAUCGAAAGGUUAAAAGCACCUUGAAAAGAGAGUUAAACGGCACGUGAAAUUGUUGAAAGGGAAGCGCUUGCGGUCAGACUCGAGCCCGGGGGCUCAGCGGGUAUGCUUACCCGUGCACUCCCUCGGGCCCGGGCCAGCAUCGGUUCUGACGGCCGGUCAAAGGCCCCCGGAAUGUGUCGUCCUCCGGGACGUCUUAUAGCCGGGGGUGCAAUGCGGCCAGUUGGGACCGAGGAACGCGCUUCGGCACGGAUGCUGGCGUAAUG
rnacentral:rRNA from 1 species